GAUAUUAAAAGUAUUAUUAUUUCUUUAAAUAGAACCUCGUGGUGCGUGAGGGUACUAUUCACCAUCUUCUUCCUCACAAACCUUAACUUCUCAAACUCUAAUCAAGCUGCUGCCGCCACCGUCUCCUCUGCCGCUGCACGUCGUCCCCUCGAUCCAAGCCGUCAAAGCCAGCUCCUUCAUUCACAAGUUGUUGCACUUGGGUCCUUCAGCUCGCAUGAUCGCUGCUGAUCCAUUCGAAGAGCCGCCGUCCACACCCAUCAUCACGUUUUGCAAGCGUCCAAACUGAUUCCUCACGUUAGUCGAUCGUUCAUGUCGUCGAGCUGCACAAGUCAUCCAUUUCGAAGCUACGUCGCACUAGCCACCGUUCACGAGCCUUUAGUCGAUUAUCGAGCCAUGUGGUGUAGCCAAUCUCUCCUUCGAGUCGCGCUCUUACGCAAGUCAUUCUUAAACGCUCAAGCCGCAAGCGUGCGCCAGUGAUUCAAGCCUACCAGCAUCGAUUCCCUCCCUUAGCCGAGCCGCCUAGCCGAUUUUCCCUCCAGCCAAGCCAUUUUCAAGCCACCAAGUUUAUUUUGGCCCAUUUAAUCUAUUUUUGAUUUUAACUGGGAGUUGGUGCUGUGAAAUUUCUCCCCAACCAAGGAAAAUUUGGAUUCAACCUCGACUUUGGGACUUCAUUGUUUGGGAAAGCUUGGCUAUUUGCUGUUAGAACUUGGAUAAGCUAAUCUCCAGGUAAGAGAUUCUCUUACUAGACCUUCAAACUGAAAUAAGAGCUUGCAUGUAAUUUUUCCAUUAUGCAUUGAGGUAGCUAAGAUGUAUAAUAAGUUUAUGUUUAUGAUGACUAAUAGUCAUGAGGGAGUUUAUGUUUAAGAUGACUGAUAGUUAUGACAUGAGAUAUGUUGAUGAUGAUAUUUGAUGAUGUUGAUGCUUAUGCAUGAAAUAUUAAUCUUGAUUAAAAAUGCUACGAUUAAUAUUCAUGUCAUGCUUAUGAUGUUAUGUUAUGCUAUAUGCUAUGAUUAGGGUGUACUGUUAGCUUUAUCUAUUAGAGUCGUACCCACAUGGGUGUCUCUCGAGAUCACCAUCUUUUUAUGACUAAGUAAUCCGACGGGAUAACCAAUUCAAAAUGAGAUGAUAUGUUACGAGUGAUCCGAUGGGGUCACUCACAGCCCAAAUGUCUUAAUGUUUCUUUCGAGUUCACUAAAGAUCAGUUUUGUCCUAGUUGUUCCUUUGGGUUCACCGAAAACCAGAGAUGUUCCUACGGGAUUACAGAUUGCACGUGUUCGGGAACGUGCCAGUUUAGGGGUACCACUCUACAGGACUCUAAUAGAAAGUUAGCAGAUACCUGGCGGGAUAGUAGUAGGUUCCUUACUGAGUAUAUUUUUAUACUCACUCUUUCAUGUUUAAAUUUUUCAAGCAAAGAUAAAGGGAGAGGUAGAGGGAAGUUGGCGAAUGACAAGAAGUGACUGUGGCAUGCCAUAGAGACACGUUUUGCUUCCGCUGUUAUGUUUUCAGUUUGAUUUUAGUAUCUUUUUUGUACUUUCAUGAUUACUCUUUAAAACUAGAUAGGGCCCGAACUAGGAUUUUGUUAU